CUUCUCCAACGUUCUUCGUCAUAAAUUUCACCAUAGAACCCUCUCCUUUUCUUCCUCAUCCAUUAACGUCAUCAUCUUCACAACUUUUCAGGCUGUGCCAUGGGAGUUCUCUCGUUCUGGAGCUCGUUUCGCUCUCCUUCCGCCGUCAAAUUUUCUAGCUUCCACAAAACCAUUUGCAUGGCUGAUGAAGUAUCCAUAUCCAAGCAUCAUACGGUCAAUCACUUAGACAUUUUUUCUGUCAAACGAUUUCCAAGAAGGCUGUUCGCGCAGUUCAUUGGUUCGUAUCCGAUCUUGUUAUAUGCAAAUCCUAGUUUCGGUGCACCGAUGAUCGACGUGCAAGAACCGGAAAUAGUUCGGACGCUAAAGCUCGACAGUGGAGUUCGGAUUCAAGAAGUUCUUGAGGGAGAUGGAGCAGAAGCACAUGAAGGAGACUUGGUGGAGUUCAAUUAUGUCUGCAGGCGUUCAAAUGGAUAUUUCGUUCAUAGUACGAUAGAUCAAUUCAGCGGAGAAAGCACACCAGUAAUCCUGCCUUUGAAACAAAACCAGAUAAUAGAGGGCUUGAAAGAGGUUCUGGUUGGCAUGAGAGUUGGAGGUUGCCCCUCGCUGCUGCGUUCUGUUAGGCCAUGGAUUAUAGGAACAAAUGUAGUUGAAUGAGACAGCAAGCGGGUUACACGUUCCACUGUGCCAAGAUGUGAGGUGCAGGUGGUGAUGAUCACCCCGGGGUAUGCACGGAGCCCUUGACAAGCACUCCAAGACCUGCCAAUGCUCAUGAGGCGAUACAUAACGGGCUAAAAGGACAAUAUUUAUUAAUGGUGGGCUUGUGGUGUUACAAAUGGUAUCAGAGUCAGAUAUCGGGCGGUGUACCUGUAUAGACACAAAGCCCCCAAAGGGGAUGGAUUGUGAAAUCCUACAUCGGUUGGAGAGGGGAACAAAACAUUCUUUAUAAGGGUGUGGAAACGUUUGCCUAGCAGACACGUUUUAAAACUGUAAACCUGACAGCGAUAUGUAACGGGUCAAAACGGACCACACCCUCUAUUAACACAGAAAUGCGUUUAUUAUUUGUUAUCAGGGAAAAGAAGAGCACUUAUCCCUCCCUCUGUGGGUUACAUAAAUGAGAAUUUGAACCCAAUUCCUGAAGAGCACGACAACGUUGCUCGAUAAAAUUAAGUUCGCUUUGUUGCAGUUUGGCCCUCGGCGUAGUCUUUUAUCGCAUCGGAACGAGCCCUUGAUAUUUGAGGUACAACUUUUGAAAGUUCAAUGAAUAUCAUUCUCUCGACUUAGAAAGUUCAUUCGAUGAGUGUUGAUAUUUGAAAAUAUGAGUAGAAAGUUCAUUCAUGGCGGGCUCACAUCAUCAUUAUGUGGUGUGUCCUUUGCCAUUAUUCGGCUGUAAUCAGAGGCCGAAAGAACGUGUAAUUGCUAUUAAAAGACGGAAACGUUGAUAUUUUCUUUUUUGUAUCUGAAAAUAACCUACUGUCGAUGAUCAGAGCCUUGACUUUUUAUAUUAUUAGUAAAGUACAGGAGCGUUUUAGUA